rnacentral:rRNA from 1 species
UACAGAGGGGGCAAGCGUUAUUCGGAAUUAUUGGGCGUAAAGCGCGCGUAGGCGGCUUUGCAAGUCGGGUGUGAAAUCCCCAGGCUUAACCUGGGAACUGCAUUCGAGACUGCAUUGCUAGAGUAUGGGAGAGGGAAGUGGAAUUUCCGGUGUAGCGGUGAAAUGCGUAGAUAUCGGAAGGAACAUCAGUGGCGAAAGCGACUUCCUGGACCAAUACUGACGCUCAUGUGCGAAAGCGUGGGAGCAAACAGGG